rnacentral:rRNA from 1 species
UACAGAGGGUGCAAGCGUUGUUCGGAAUUAUUGGGCGUAAAGGGAGUGUAGGCGGUCAUGUAAGUCUUCUGUGAAAUCUACGGGCUUAGCCUGUAACGUGCAGAGGAAACUGUGUGACUUGAGUGUCGGAGAGGAUAGGGGAAUACCCGGUGUAGAGGUGAAAUUCGUAGAGAUCGGGUGGAACACCAGUGGCGAAGGCGCCUGUCUGGCUGACAACUGACGCUGAGACUCGAAAGCAUGGGGAGCAAACGGG